rnacentral:rRNA from 1 species
AUUGAACGCUGGCGGCAUGCCUUACACAUGCAAGUCGAACGGUAACAGGUCUUCGGAUGCUGACGAGUGGCGAACGGGUGAGUAAUACAUCGGAACGUGCCCGAGAGUGGGGGAUAACGGAGCGAAAGCUUUGCUAAUACCGCAUACGAUCUACGGAUGAAAGCAGGGGACCGCAAGGCCUUGCGCUCAUGGAGCGGCCGAUGGCAAAUUAGGUAGUUGGUGGGAUAAAAGCUUACCAAGCCGACGAUCUGUAGCUGGUCUGAGAGGCCGACCAGCCACACUGGGACUGGGACACGGCCCAGACUCCUACGGGAGGCAGCAGUGGGGAAUUUUGGACAAUGGCCGCAAGCCUGAUCCAGCCUUGCCGCGUGCAGGAUGAAGGCCUUCGGGUUGUAAACUGCUUUUGUACGGAACGAAAAGCCUCUUUCGAAUAAAGAGAGGUCAUGACGGUACCGUAAGAAUAAGCACCGGCUAACUCUGUGCCAGCAGCCGCCGUAACAC